UCACUAGAUAACAAAUGUUGUAUGAUUACCCUAUAGAAAGCUAUUCACCAGAUAACAAAUGACGUAAAUGUAAGGAACUAUAGGUUAGCAUACGGCCUUCAAAAGUGAGAACAGAACCUUAAAGGAGGGGUGGACAGGGGGUCCCUGAUUCCCACUUUCAAACCCCCAACUCCCACUCCCCUCACUUCUACUCCCAAAACUUUUUACGAUAGUAUCCCUAUUUUUACUCUCCUUCUAUCCCGGUUCCCGCCUCUGACUUCCACCCUCACUUGUGCUUUAACAAAAGAAUAUCCUUGACACUUGAAAGACCUUCUAUGUGUUCUCUGAACAAAAAACUAUUUAAUUAUAAUUUUGUUUGGCAAAAGGAGGGAGGAAUAUCCUUCUCGUUCCAAACUGCUUGUCAGCUUGGAUGGUUUAAUUUUCCAAGCACUGUAAGUAAGAUGAAAUCCCAGAAUUUUCGUCAAUCUAAGAAAUCACACUAUACGUCAGUUGACCUUAUUUGUGUCCUUUAGGUAAUAAAUUGUUGAUGGAUAGUGUCCUUUAGGUAAUAAAGUGUUGAUGAUGGCUAGUGUCCUUUAGGUAUUAAAGUGUUGGUGGCUAGUGUCCUUUAGGUAAUACAGUGUUGAUGGCUAGUGUCCUUUAGGUAAUACAGUGUUGAUGGCUAGUGUCCUUUAGGUAAUAAAGUGUUGAUGGCUAGUGUCCUUUAGGUAAUAAGUGUUGAUGGCUAGUGUCCUUUAGGUAAUAAAGUGUUGAUGGCUAGUGUCCUUUAGGUAAUAAAGUGUUGAUGGCUAGUGUCCUUUAGGUAAUAAGUGUUGAUGGCUAGUGUCCUUUAGGUAAUAAAGUGUUGAUGGCUAGUGUCCUUUAGGUAAUAAAGUGUUGAUUGCUAGUGUCCUUUAGAUAAUAAAGUGUUGAUGGCAAGUUUGUAGUAGCAUCUGUUAAAUGUAGAUACAAGUUGGUUUUUUUUCAAUUUAGCGCAUGACAUGUCAGAUUAAAACUUUCCUUUUGUUCAUUACCGUAUUAGCUCUAGAUGCCAUGUGGCUCUCUAUCUUAUUAUGUUGAGAGACUGUUUCAUCGAUAUAUACCCAACAUUUCAUGUUAUUCACAUUGAUUGAGUUUUGAGAUUGCAUUAAAAGACCUUAUUCGCGUUAGAUACCGGAAUAGUUGUCUGAAUGUGGAUUCCAAAAACGGAUGAUGCCCUAUGAAUAUCUCGAUCCUUUUGGAGUUCAUGCGAUUUGCUUAUUUCUUUUACCUUGAUUCGCAUGUUUUUAAUGGAUUUUUGAGAUUUGAACAUUGGUAAUAUACUGUUGCCUCCAACUUAGGAAAUAGUAUAUAGAAGUGGCAGUCUGAUUAAAACACUUGUGUCUACGCUUGCUUACUUGUAAUCAAUAUGUGUUGUAAUCAGAUUGCAAAAUAAGUUACUCAAUAUCCUUAUGCUUAUGCAUAUACAGAGAUUUAGAAGAUAGAUGCGUGAACAUUAAUGGCAUUAUAUAUAUAACAUAAGCUAAAAUGUAUCUUGAGUAAUUUUAUUUCACCUUUAAACAGGUAGCAAUAGAAAUUAUUAACUGUUUAUGCAAAAACAGACAGUAACAUUAUCCAUGUACAUUUUAAAUGUAGUAUUGCACCGUAAUUGUAACAAACCCGUCAAUAGGAAUAAGUUCACUUUGAGAAUAACUAUAUCGUACAUGGUCAAACACCAAACACCAAAAAAUAAUAUAAAAAAUAUAA